UACGGAGGGGCUAGCGUUGUUCGGAAUUACUGGGCGUAAAGCGCACGUAGGCGGCUUUGUAAGUUAGAGGUGAAAGCCCGGGGCUCAACUCCGGAAUUGCCUUUAAGACUGCAUCGCUAGAAUUGUGGAGAGGUAAGUGGAAUUCCGAGUGUAGAGGUGAAAUUCGUAGAUAUUCGCAAGAACACCAGUGGCGAAGGCGGCUCACUGGCCCGGUACUGACGCUGAGGUGCGAAAGCGUGGGGAGCAAACAGG
rnacentral:rRNA from 1 species